rnacentral:rRNA from 1 species
AUUGAACGCUGGCGGCAGGCCUAACACAUGCAAGUCGAACGAGUGGCGGACGGGUGAGUAAUGUCUGGGAAACUGCCUGAUGUAGGGGGAUAACUACUGGAAACGGUAGCUAAUACCGCAUACCAUCAGAUGUGCCCAGAUGGGCGUAGCUAGUUGGUGGGGUAACGGCUCACCAAGGCGUAGAUCCCUAGCUGGUCUGAGAGGAUGACCAGCCAAACUGGAACUGAGAAACGGUCCCGACGCCUACGGGAGGAAGCAGUAGGGAAUAUUGCACAAAGGGCGCAAGCCUGAUGGAGCCGUACCGCGUGUAUGAAGAAGGCCUUCGGGUUGUAAAAUACUUUCAGGGGGGAGGCGUUAGCCGCAGAAGAAGCACCGGCUAACUCCGUGCCAGCAGCCGCGGUAAUAC